rnacentral:rRNA from 1 species
UACGUAGGGGGCAAGCGUUGUCCGGAUUUAUUGGGCGUAAAGCGCACGCAGGCGGUCAACCAAGUUCCGUGUGACAGUGCUCGGCUCAACUGAGCAAGGCUGCGGAAAACUGGCGUGACUUGAGGACCAGAGAGGGACAUAGAAUUCCGCGUGUAGCAGUGAAAUGCGUAGAUAUGCGGAGGAACACCGAUGGCGAAGGCAAUCCCCUGGGCCUGUACUGACGCUCAUGCACGAAAGCGUGGGGAGCAAACAGG